GACGAACGCUGGCGGCGUGCUUAACACAUGCCAGUCGAACGGAAAGGCCCUGCUUUUGUGGGGUGCUCGAGUGGCGAACGGGUGAGUAACACGUGAGUAACCUGCCCUUGACUUUGGGAUAACUUCAGGAAACUGGGGCUAAUACCGGAUAGGAGCUCCUGCUGCAUGGUGGGGGUUGGAAAGUUUCGGCGGUUGGGGAUGGACUCGCGGCUUAUCAGCUUGUUGGUGGGGUAGUGGCUUACCAAGGCUUUGACGGGUAGCCGGCCUGAGAGGGUGACCGGCCACAUUGGGACUGAGAUACGGCCCAGACUCCUACGGGAGGCAGCAGUGGGGAAUAUUGCACAAUGGGCGGAAGCCUGAUGCAGCAACGCCGCGUGCGGGAUGACGGCCUUCGGGUUGUAAACCGCUUUCGCCUGUGGCGAAGCGUGAGUGACGGUAAUGGGGAAAGAAGCACCGGCUAACUACGU
rnacentral:rRNA from 1 species